UGGGCUUGACAUGUCCGGUAUUCUGCAGAGAUGCGGGAGUGCCCUUCGGGGAAUCGGAACAC
rnacentral:rRNA from 1 species